AAAAAUGAACUAGCGGGCAAUAAAUAUUUGAGAAUAGAGGCUUGUUUUUAUACAGAUCUUAAUUUGCAGCUCGAUCAAUAAGCUACAGUGCUAAUAUCAGGAGAACAUCCAUAAUCUGUUACUAAUAUCAGGAGAACAUCCAUAAUCUGUUAGAGACGAUGCUCUAGCACAACUGGGUUGAAUCCUGAGGAAGCUCGAAAACAAGUCUGUUAAUGUUCUAAACCCUGUAGCUGUAGGUUUUGUUGUCCAUUGAUGAUGAUGAAUGAUGAGAAGCGUAGAUCGACU
rnacentral:lncRNA from 1 species